rnacentral:rRNA from 1 species
UUACCAGGUCUUGACAUCCCUGACAACCCGAGAGAUCGGGCGGUUCCCCUUCGGGGGACAGGGUGACAGGUGGUGCAUGGUUGUCGUCAGCUCGUGUCGUGAGAUGUUGGGUUAAGUCCCGCAACGAGCGCAACCCUCGACCUUAGUUGCCAGCAUUCAGUUGGGCACUCUAAGGUGACUGCCGGCUAAAAGUCGGAGGAAGUGGGGAUGACGUCAAAUCAUCAUGCCCCUUAUGACCUGGGCUACACACGUGCUACAAUGGGCGGUACAAAGGGUCGCGAACCCGCGAGGGGGAGCCAAUCCCAAAAAGCCGCUCUCAGUUCGGAUUGCAGGCUGCAACUCGCCUGCAUGAAGCCGGAAUCGCUAGUAAUCGCGGAUCAGCAUGCCGCGGUGAAUACGUUCCCGGGCCUU